AUUGAACGCUGGCGGCAGGCCUAACACAUGCAAGUCGAGCGGAUGAAGGGAGCUUGCUCCUGGAUUCAGCGGCGGACGGGUGAGUAAUGCCUAGGAAUCUGCCUGGUAGUGGGGGAUAACGUCCGGAAACGGGCGCUAAUACCGCAUACGUCCUGAGGAGGAAGGGGGGGAUUUUUCGAACCUCAGGUUUCAGAUUAAGCUAGGUCGGAUUAGCCAGUUGGUGGGGGAAAGGCCUACCAAGGCGACGAUCCGUAACUGGUCUGAGAGGAUGAUCAGUCACACUGGAACUGAGACACGGUCCAGACUCCUACGGGAGGCAGCAGUGGGGAAUAUUGGACAAUGGGCGAAAGCCUGAUCCAGCCAUGCCGCGUGUGUGAAGAAGGUCUUCGGAUUGUAAAGCACUUUAAGUUGGGAGGAAGGGCAGUAAGUUAAUACCUUGCUGUUUUGACGUUACCAACAGAAUAAGCACCGGCUAACUUCGUG
rnacentral:rRNA from 1 species